rnacentral:rRNA from 1 species
CGUAGGGUGCGAGCGUUAAUUGGAAUUACUGGGCGUAAAGCGUGCGCAGGCGGUUUUGUAAGCCAGAUGUGAAAUCCCCGGGCUUAACCUGGGAAUGGCAUUUGGGACUGCAAGGCUUGAGUGCGGCAGAGGAGACUGGAAUUCCCGGUGUAGCAGUGAAAUGCGUAGAUAUCGGGAGGAAUACCGAUGGCGAAGGCAGGUCUCUGGGCUGACACUGACGCUCAUGCACGAAAGCGUGGGGAGCAAACAGGAUUAGAUACCCUGGUAGUCCACGCCCUAAACGAUGUCGACUGGUUGUUGGGGGUUUGACACUCUCAGUAACGAAGCUAACGCGUGAAGUCGACCGCCUGGGGAGUACGGCCGCAAGGUUA